AUGCCUAUGCCCUCGUCUCCUCGCCGCUCGCUCCACUGCUCUCCUACACCUCCGCCUCCCCUUCUCCCUUCUCUUCGCAUCCGUCCUCCCCUCGACACCCUCGCCUCCGACCUCUCUUGCAGCACCCCAACUCCACUCUCGGGCCAAGCCGAGUCACCUCCAGGCCAGCAUCUGCUCCAUCCCGUUCUUCUCCAUCCGAGCAGCGGCAAGCUCGCAGAUCUGGUGCCCCUAGAGUGGAAGAAACAAGGAGUAGGCGCCACAAGAUGGAGGAGGAGAUGGGGCCCUGGGAGAGUGGCGGCGGCAGCCCCUCUGCCUAUGACCGAGCCCGGGGACAAAAAUGGAGGUGGUGGCAGGGAGCAUGCGAGCAACAACGAUGACUGGACGCCAGGAGCUGGAAGAGGUGGUCCAUGCCGAGGAAGAUGGCAUUGUGUGAUAAUUCAGGCAUUCUUCCUUCUUAGUAUGAACGGAUAG
rnacentral:rRNA from 1 species